rnacentral:rRNA from 1 species
GACGAACGCUGGCGGCGUGCCUAAUACAUGCAAGUAGAACGCUGACUACUUUAGCUUGCUAGAGUAGAAGGAGUUGCGAACGGGUGAGUAACGCGUAGGUAACCUGCCUACUAGCGGGGGAUAACUAUUGGAAACGAUAGCUAAUACCGCAUAACAGUGUUUAACACAUGUUAGAUGCUUGAAAGAUGCAAUUGCAUCACUAGUAGAUGGACCUGCGUUGUAUUAGCUAGUUGGUAAGGUAACGGCUUACCAAGGCAACGAUCAGUAGCCGACCUGAGAGGGUGACCGGCCACAUUGGGACUGAGACACGGCCCAA